GAAAUGCGAUAAGUAAUGUGAAUUGCAGAAUUCAGUGAAUCAUCGAAUCUUUGAACGCACAUUGCGCCCGCCAGUAUUCUGGCGGGCAUGCCUGUUCGAGCGCCAUUUCAACCAUCAAGCCCCCGGCUUGUGUUGGGGACCUGCGGCUGCCCGCAGGCCCUGAAAAACAGUGGCGGGCUGGCUGUCACACCGAGCGUAGUAGCAUACAUUCUCGCUCAGGGCGUGCUGCGGGUUCCGGCCGUUAAACGACCUUCAUAACCCAAGGUUGACCUCGGAUCAGGUAGGAAGACCCGCUGAACUUAAGC
rnacentral:misc_RNA from 1 species